AGAGUUUGAUCCUGGCUCAGAACGAACGCUGGCGGCAUGCCUAACACAUGCAAGUCGAACGAGACCUUCGGGUCUAGUGGCGCACGGGUGCGUAACGCGUGGGAAUCUGCCCUUCGGUUCGGAACAACAGUUAGAAAUGACUGCUAAUACCGGAUAAUGACGUAAGUCCAAAGAUUUAUCGCCGAAGGAUGAGCCCGCGUAAGAUUAGGUAGUUGGUGGGGUAAUGGCCUACCAAGCCGACGAUCUUUAGCUGGUCUGAGAGGAUGAUCAGCCACGCUGGGACUGAGACACGGCCCAGACUCCUACGGGAGGCAGCAGUGGGGAAUAUUGGACAAUGGGCGAAAGCCUGAUCCAGCAAUGCCGCGUGAGUGAUGAAGGCCUUAGGGUUGUAAAGCUCUUUACCAGGGAUGAUAAUGACAGUACCUGGAGAAUAAGCUCCGGCUAACUCCGUG
rnacentral:rRNA from 1 species